rnacentral:sRNA from 1 species
UAAAGACGGACAUUAGAACCGCGAUACCC